AUAUCUAAGGUUUCCAGAGUAAAGCUGAUCUGCUCUGGGUAAGUCGGGGCCUAAGGCGAGGUCGAAAGACGUAGUCGAUGGAUAACAGGUUGAAAUUCCUGUACUAUCCUGUAACAGAACUGUGGGGACACAGGCAGAGAGCGUGAGCCGGGAAUGGAAAGACCGGUACAAGCGAGGUAGGAGAAGAGCUGGCAAAUCCGCUCUUCAAUCUGAAGACGUGAUGUGGACCGAAAAGAAGUAGGGAAGCACGUGAGCUGACUGUCAAGAAAAGCCGCUAUUGUUUGCAGGAUACCCGUACCGUAAACCGACACAGGUGGAUGAGGAGAGAAUCCUAAGGCCGACGGGAGAAGCAUUGUUAAGGAACUCGGCAAAAUGACUCCGUAACUUCGGGAGAAGGAGUGCCAGUAAGAUGGCCGCAGAGAAUUGGCCCAAGCAACUGUUUAGCAAAAACACAGGUCUAUGCAAAACCGAAAGGUGAGGUAUAUGGGCUGACGCCUGCCCGGUGCUGGAAGGUUAAGGGGAGAGGUUAGCGCAAGCGAAGCUUUGAACUUAAGCCCCAGUAAACGGCGGCCGUAACUAUAACGGUCCUAAGGUAGCGAAAUUCCUUGUCGGGUAAGUUCCGACCCGCACGAAAGGCGUAAUGAUUUGGGCACUGUCUCAACAAUGCACCCGGUGAAAUUGAAAUACCAGUGAAGAUGCUGGUUACCUGCGCCAGGACGGAAAGACCCCAUGGAGCUUUACUCCAGCUUGAUACUGGGAUUCGGUAUUGUAUGUACAGGAUAGGUGGGAGGCUUUGAAGUGGUUACGCCAGUAGCCAUGGAGCCGCUGUUGGGAUACCACCCUUGCAGUACUGGGUUUCUAACCAGCAGCCGUGAUCCGGCUGGGGGACAAUGUCAGGUGGGGAGUUUGACUGGGGCGGUCGCCUCCGAAAGGGUAUCGGAGGCGCUCAAAGGUUCCCUCAGAAUGGUUGGAAACCAUUCGAAGAGUGCAAAGGCAGAAGGGAGCUUGACUGCGACACCGACGGGUGGAGCAGGUACGAAAGUAGGACUUAGUGAUCCGGUGGUAUAAAGUGGGAUUGCCAUCGCUCAACGGAUAAAAGCUACCCUGGGGAUAACAGGCUUAUCACUCCCAAGAGUUCACAUCGACGGAGUGGUUUGGCACCUCGAUGUCGGCUCAUCGCAUCCUGGGGCUGUAGUAGGUCCCAAGGGUUGGGCUGUUCGCCCAUUAAAGCGGUACGCGAGCUGGGUUCAGAACGUCGUGAGACAGUUCGGUCCCUAUCCGGCGUGGGCGUAGGAUAUCUGAGAGGAGCUGUCCUUAGUACGAGAGGACCGGGAUGGACGGGCCGCUGGUGCAUCGGUUAGACUGCCAAGUCUACGGCCGAGUAGCCAAGCCCGGAAGGGAUAAACGCUGAAGGCAUCUAAGCGUGAAGCCCCCCUCAAGAUGAGAUAUCCCAUUCGAAAGAAGUAAGACCCCUUGAAGACGACGAGGUAGAUAGGGCAGAGGUGGAAGUGCAGUAAUGCAUGGAGCUGACUGUUACUAAUCGGGUGAGGGCUUGACCA
rnacentral:rRNA from 1 species